AUGAUUUUAGAUACGAGGUGGAACAUUGACAACAUAUUUCAUUCGUUUAAAAAUCCAGCGACAAAGGAAUUCUUCAGCGCGAUUGAGAACCCAACUUCCCACGCCUUCCGCAAUGUAUUCUCGUUCAUCUGUUACGUGUCGCCUUUCAAUUCUUCGUGUAACCACGCGUUCGGUCUUCUACAUUUUUACAGAUCUUAUACAUCAUUUGUUCCUCAUUGUGACUUGGAAAUAAGAAGUUCUUUCAAGUGAUAAAUUUAAAAAAUAUUCGCAGAGAAAGAGGACGAGGCCAUCGAAAAGAUUAUAGACAAAAAUAUAUCCUCCAUGUUUAUGGAUCUUCUUUUCUUCCUACGUUGUGUC